UACGAAGGGGCUAGCGUUACUCGGAUUGACUGGGCGUAAAGGGCGCGUAGGCGGUUUGUACAGUCAGACGUGAAAUUCCUGGGCUCAACCUGGGGGCUGCGUUUGAUACGUGCAGACUUGAGUUCGGAAGAGGGUCGUGGAAUUCCCAGUGUAGAGGUGAAAUUCGUAGAUAUUGGGAAGAACACCGGUGGCGAAGGCGGCCCCCUGGACCGGAACUGACGCUGAGGCGCGAAAGCGUGGGUAGCAAACGGG
rnacentral:rRNA from 1 species